UUCCUCCUCCCUAUCUCCCUUCUCUCUCUUUCUCUCCCCUUCUUCCCAAACAAGUCGAGUGACAACAAACAAAGUGUCAAAUUACCAAAUUUUACGACAAAACGAGGGUGGUUUGAGAGAAUAAAUAAGUAAAACGAAACAAAUAUGCGUUACGUGAAUAAGCGAAACGAUAGUCGAUAGAGCCCGAUGAGUGAAAGAAAAGAGAGCAAAGAGAAGAGGAAAAUAGAAAACCUGUAGCUACAAACGUGCAAGUGCCCAAACCGAAUCAUGCAGGCAAAGCCACCUCUGAGCUGCACAAAAGACGAGCAGGGUGAGGCCAAGACCUCCCCGAUCUCCGACGCUGCCCGCAGCCCAAUCGAUCGUCUCCUCGAUCAGGCCGCCAUCAUUUUCAGUGCAAGCUCUCACUCUCAAACAGUCACAGUCACAGUCACUCCACUUCACUGCCUGAUCCUUCCACCUCUCGAGACGAGAACAACCAGAUCACUCCUAGUGGUGGCGCCCUGCCCUCUCUUCUCCUCUCCAGUUCAUGGUCCCAGAAAGGGGUUAGAUUUCUCGCAGACGUGAUGCGUGGGGCAAUUAUUAUCGGAUUUGUCGAUCUUGUGAUGAUGCAAUAGAGUACAAACAUUCUCCUGUUGCCGACAUCAACGGCACGCUUUGUAGUAUCAGUAAGUUUUUCUUUUUGUGAUGAUUUACACACGCAUUUACUGGUUUA